GUGCUCCAGCACUGGUAACAACUGAAGAAUCUGCCUGAGCUGCAGUUUGACUGAAACAUCAAGAACACAAAUCAUGUUUGUCUACUUCAGAUGUUAUCCGGACUGUCUGUAGUAAUAGCAUCAAGCAAAUCCAGUGUGCACUGUAUGGUCAUCCUUUGUAGCUUCUCCUACUUCAUAGCAGCAGAAAUACCAGAAGAGAAGUAUAUUUCAAAGCAUCCUCAAUCCUGCCCCAAUUUUGGCUUUAAUUCCUCUAGCUAGACUGUUGCUUCUGUACUUUGAAAUAUUAAACUUCCUUUUGUUUUCAUGAAAAGUUUUACACAUCCAUGCAACACCCAUAAUUUUUUUUUACUAUGAAUUUGGCCUUUGUGGUCCUGCAGUUCUUGGCUGUUACCCUCUCUUUUCCUGGGAAACUCUCCUUUUGGGAAGUUGAGUUGGGGAUUAAAGCUGCUCUACAGAUUUAACAUACACAUUCCAUUAGUAUUGGAGUGCACCUUUGCGGACAGUAAACAAAGGACUGUGCUGAUGCAACACAGCAGGGAAUAUAAAUGAAGAAAGGUGGUUACUAGUAAUCUCAUAAAGGAAAGGAAGACACGCUCUGCGGUACUAGGAAAGGAAGAUACUCUGCAGUGUGGUGG